GAUGAACGCUGGCGGCGUGCCUAAUACAUGCCAGUCGAGCGAACAGAUGAGGAGCUUGCUCCUCUGACGUUAGCGGCGGACGGGUGAGUAACACGUGGAUAACCUACCUAUAAGACUGGGAUAACUUCGGGAAACCGGAGCUAAUACCGGAUAAUAUAUUGAACCGCAUGGUUCAAUAGUGAAAGACGGUUUUGCUGUCACUUAUAGAUGGAUCCGCGCCGCAUUAGCUAGUUGGUAAGGUAACGGCUUACCAAGGCAACGAUGCGUAGCCGACCUGAGAGGGUGAUCGGCCACACUGGAACUGAGACACGGUCCAGACUCCUACGGGAGGCAGCAGUAGGGAAUCUUCCGCAAUGGGCGAAAGCCUGACGGAGCGACGCCGCGUGAGUGAUGAAGGUCUUCGGAUCGUAAAACUCUGUUAUUAGGGAAGAACAAAUGUGUAAGUAACUAUGCACGUCUUGACGGUACCUAAUCAGAAAGCCACGGCUAACUACGUG
rnacentral:rRNA from 1 species